rnacentral:tRNA from 1 species
UAACGCAGCUCAGCAGGAUAGAGCAUCCCGAUUUCGAAUCGGGACGGUCGAAGGUUCGAAUCCUUCUGCGUUCACAA